UACGUAGGGGGCGAGCGUUGUCCGGAAUCAUUGGGCGUAAAGCGCGUGUAGGCGGCUCGGUAAGUCCGCUCUGAAAGCCCGGGGCUCAACCCCGGGAGGCGGGUGGAUACUGCUGAGCUCGAGUCCGGAAGAGGAGUGUGGAAUUCCUGGUGUAGCGGUGAAAUGCGCAGAUAUCAGGAGGAACACCGGUGGCGAAGGCGGGUCUCUGGGCCGAUACUGACGCUGAGGAGCGAAAGCGUGGGGAGCGAACAGAA
rnacentral:rRNA from 1 species